rnacentral:rRNA from 1 species
CCUACGGGGGGCAGCAGUGAGGAAUAUUGGUCAAUGGGCGCGAGCCUGAACCAGCCAAGUAGCGUGAAGGAUGACUGCCCUACGGGUUGUAAACUUCUUUUGUCAAGGGACAAAAUCAGGCUCGAGAGCCUGACCGAGGGUACUUGAAGAAAAAGCAUCGGCUAACUCCGUGCCAGCAGCCGCGGUAAUACGGAGGAUCCGAGCGUUAUCCGGAUUUAUUGGGUUUAAAGGGAGCGUAGAUGGGUUGUUAAGUCAGUUGUGAAAGUUUGCGGCUCAACCGUAAAAUUGCAAUUGAUACUGGCAGUCUUGAGUACAGUUGAGGUAGGCGGAAUUCGUGGUGUAGCGGUGAAAUGCUUAGAUAUCACGAAGAACUCCGAUUGCGAAGGCAGCUUACUAAACUGCCACUGACAUUGAUGCUCGAAAGUGUGGGUAUCAAACAGGAUUAGAUACCCCGGUAGUC